UUUGUUUGCUUGUUGUUGUUGUUCUUUC
rnacentral:sRNA from 1 species